UCUUACGGGUAAGUAAAGAAAGUGGUUUCUUGGGAUGGAAUCUACUCCUGGGGAAGAUGCUAUGAA
rnacentral:pre_miRNA from 1 species